CCGAUAGAUCAUUAUGCCUGGAAAGGUUUAUGGUCCAAAUGAUUCGUCGCCGUAGGAUGGGACUGCGGCCUAUCAGCUUGUUGGUGAGGUAAUGGCCCACCAAGGCUAUUACAGGUACGGGCUCUGAGAGGAGAAGCCCGGAGAUGGGUACUGAGACACGGACCCAGGCCCUAUGGGGCGCAGCAGGCGAGAAACCUUUGCAAUGUGCGCAAGCACGACAAGGUUAAUCCGAGUGUUUCCUGCUAAAGGAAUCUUUUGUUAGUUGUAAAACCACUAAUGAAUAAGGGGUGGGCAAGUUCUGGUGUCAGCCGCCGCGGUAAAACCAGCACCUCAAGUGGUCAGGAUGAUUAUUGGGCCUAAAGCAUCCGUAGCCUGUUCUGUAAGUUUUCGGUUAAAUCCAUUAGCUCAACUAAUGGGCUGCCGAAAAUACUGCAGAACUAGGGAGUGGGAGAGGUAGACGGUACUCGGUAGGAAGGGGUAAAAUCCUUUGAUCUAUUGAUGACCACCUGUGGCGAAGGCGGUCUACCAGAACACGUUCGACGGUGAGGGAUGAAAGCUGGGGGAGCAAACCGGAUUAGAUACCCGGGUAGUCCCAGCUGUAAACGAUGCAGACUCGGUGAUGCCCUGGCUUGUGGCCAGUGCAGUGCCGC
rnacentral:rRNA from 1 species